rnacentral:rRNA from 1 species
CCUGAUGCAGCAACGCCGCGUGAGGGAUGACGGCCUUCGGGUUGUAAACCUCUUUUAGUAGGGAAGAAGGGCUUCGGCUUGACGGUACCUGCAGAAAAAGCACCGGCUAACUACGUGCCAGCAGCCGCGGUAAUACGUAGGGUGCGAGCGUUGUCCGGAAUUAUUGGGCGUAAAGAGCUCGUAGGCGGUUUGUCACGUCUGCUGUGAAAUCCCGAGGCUCAACCUCGGGCCUGCAGUGGGUACGGGCAGACUGGAGUGCGGUAGGGGAGAUUGGAAUUCCUGGUGUAGCGGUGGAAUGCGCAGAUAUCAGGAGGAACACCGAUGGCGAAGGCAGAUCUCUGGGCCGUAACUGACGCUGAGGAGCGAAAGCGUGGGGAGCGAACAGGAUUAGAUACCCUGGUAGUCCACGCCGUAAACGUUGGGCGCUAGAUGUGGGGACCAUUCCACGGUUUCCGUGUCGUAGCUAACGCAUUAAGCGCCCCGCCUGGGGAGUACGGCCGCAAGGCUAAAACUCAAAGGAAUUGACGGGGGCCCGCACAAGCGGCGGAGCAUGCGGAUUAAUUCGAUGCAACGCGAAGAACCUUACCAAGGCUUGACAUAUACGAGAACGCCGCAGAAAUGUGGAACUCUUUGGACACUCGUAUACAGGUGGUGCAUGGUUGUCGUCAGCUCGUGUCGUGAGAUGUUGGGUUAAGUCCCGCAACGAGCGCAACCCUCGUCGUAUGUUGCCAGCACGUAAUGGUGGGAACUCAUAUGAGACUGCCGGGGUCAACUCGGAGGAAGGUGGGGAUGACGUCAAAUCAUCAUGCCCCUUAUGUCUUGGGCUUCACGCAUGCUACAAUGGCCGGUACAAAGGGCUGCGAUGUCGUAAGGCGGAGCGAAUCCCAAAAAGCCGGUCUCAGUUC